AGCGAACGCUGGCGGUAGGCUUAACACAUGCAAGUCGAACGGCAGCACAGUAAGAGCUUGCUCUUAUGGGUGGCCAGUGGCGGACGGGUCACGUAUAUAUCCGACUCUACUCUUUCGUGGGGCAUCACGUAGGUGAACCUAAUCCAAUAUAGCAUCUGCCCUUCGGUUGAAAGGAGUGGAUCUUUGCGGCUUGCGCGAUUGAACUCGCCGAUGUCGGACUAGCUAGUUGGCUGGGUAAAGGCCCACCAAGGCGACGAUCGGUAGCUGGUCUGAGUGGAUGAUCAGCCACACUGGAACUGAGACACGGUCCAGACUCCUACGGGAGGCAGCAGUGGGGAAUAUUGGACAAUGGGCGCAGGCCUGAUCCAGCCAUACCGCGUGGGUGAAGAAGGCCUUCGGGUUGUAAAGCCCUUUUGUUGGGAAAGAAAAGCAGCAGGUUAAUACCCCGCUGUUCUGACGGUACCCAAAGAAUAAGCACCGGCUAACUUCGUG
rnacentral:rRNA from 1 species